rnacentral:rRNA from 1 species
AGAGUUUGAUCAUGGCUCAGGAUGAACGCUAGCUACAGGCUUAACACAUGCAAGUCGAGGGGAAACGACAUCGAAAGCUUGCUUUUGAUGGGCGUCGACCGGCGCACGGGUGAGUAACGCGUAUCCAACCUGCCCAUCACUUGGGGAUAACCUUGCGAAAGUAAGACUAAUACCCAAUGACGUCUCUAGAAGACAUCUGAAAGAGAUUAAAGAUUUAUCGGUGAUGGAUGGGGAUGCGUCUGAUUAGAUAGUUGGUGGGGUAAUGGCCUACCAAGUCGACGAUCAGUAGCCGGACUGAGAGGUUGAACCGGCCACAUUGGGACUGAGAUACGGCCCAGACUCCUACGGGAGGCA